rnacentral:rRNA from 1 species
CCUACGGGGGGCAGCAGUGAGGAAUAUUGGUCAAUGGACGAGAGUCUGAACCAGCCAAGUAGCGUGAAGGAUGACUGCCCUAUGGGUUGUAAACUUCUUUUAUAUGGGAAUAAAAUGUUCCACGUGUGGGAUUUUGUAUGUACCAUAUGAAUAAGGAUCGGCUAACUCCGUGCCAGCAGCCGCGGUAAUACGGAGGAUCCGAGCGUUAUCCGGAUUUAUUGGGUUUAAAGGGAGCGUAGGUGGAUUGUUAAGUCAGUUGUGAAAGUUUGCGGCUCAACCGUAAAAUUGCAGUUGAAACUGGCAGUCGUGAGUACAGUAGAGGUGGGCGGAAUUCGUGGUGUAGCGGUGAAAUGCUGAGAUAUCACGAAGAACUCCGAUUGCGAAGGCAGCUCACUGGACUGCAACUGACACUGAGGCUCGAAAGUGUGGGUAUCAAACAGGAUUAGAUACCCCUGUAGUC